CUUUGCAAGGUACGAUGGCCCCUUAGAUGUGCGGAGGCACCCCAGAGGCCGCAAAAAUUAAGCCCUGAAGACAGAAACCAGCAGGCAAAGAAGGCCUGCGAGUGAGGACUUCACUAAAAGGCAUUUUAAGACCAACGCGGCAGGAGAAAGGAGACAGGAGGUCAGUCGCCCAGCGGGACAAAGGGGCAACGCUUGUUGCUGGCUUUGGUGGCGGCUUUUCCAGUUUCUUCCCCUCUGAUGGAUGGCAUUUGCAAGAGAACUCAGCCAAAGGAACUAAGAUUCCCAGGAAGCAAACUUGCGCGCCAGGCUUGGGAGUCUGAUUAGACACCUCAGAGUCAAUCUUAAACACUCAAAGAACCACAAAGAUCUUAACCGCAAGCCCCCCAUUCAAUUCUGGAGCCGAC